rnacentral:rRNA from 2 species
UACAGAGGUCUCAAGCGUUGUUCGGAAUUACUGGGCGUAAAGGGUGCGCAGGCCGCGCGGGCAGUCAAAUGUGUAAUUCAGGGGCUCAACCCCUGCACUGCGCUUGAUACUUCCGCGCUAGAACCUUGGAGAGGAGUCUGGAAUUCUCGGUGUAGCAGUGAAAUGCGUGGAUAUCGAGAAGAACACUAAGGGCGUAAGCAAGACUCUGGACAAGUGUUGACGCUCAUGCACGAAGGCUAGGGUAGCGAACGGG